UUCGCAAUGCCCGAAAGGGUGACGAAGCGACGCCGCGUGGGUGAGGAAGGCCUUCGGGUUGUAAAGCCCUGUCAGGAGUUAAGAAAUGUAAGUGUGCUAAUAUCGCAUUUACUUGACGAAGGCUCCAAAGGAAGUCACGGCUAACUCUGUGCCAGCAGCCGCGGUAAUACAGAGGUGGCAAGCGUUGUUCGGAAUUAUUGGGCGUAAAGAGCACGUAGGUGGGUUUGUAAGUCAGAUGUGAAAGCCUCCUGUUCAACGGGAGAAUUGCAUCUGAAACUACUGAUCUUGAGUAUAGAAGGGGAGAAUGGAACUUCUGGUGGAGCGGUGAAAUGCGUAGAUAUCAGAAGGAACGCCGGCGGCGAAAGCGAUUCUCUGGCCUAUUACUGACACUCAGUGUGCGAAAGCUAGGGGAGCAAACGGGAUUAGAUACCCCGGUAGUCCUAGCCGUAAACGAUGGGCACUAAGUAGAGGGGUUUU
rnacentral:rRNA from 2 species